UACAACUUAUAAAUUAUGCUGCAAUUUACAAACCCACAGAUAUGUUUGUGUCGGAGUCAGAGAGCCGUGUCUCUACAGUCAGAGGUUUUUGUACGACGCCUCAAUCAGUUUGUAUCACUGUGGUGGACUUUUGGUGGAGGAACCAGACUAGAUGUUGGAAGUGAUACCCGUCCCACCCUGACAGUGCUGCCCCCCUCCAGUGAGGAGCUGCAGCAGGGGAAGGCCACCCUCAUGUGUCUGGCCAACAAGGGCUUCCCUUCAGACUGGAGUCUGUCCUGGAAGGUGGACGGCAGCAGCAGCAGCAGCAGCAGCAGCAGCUGGGAGCAGAGCAGGAGCCCCGGGGUGCUGCAGAAGGACGGCCUCUACAGCUGGAGCAGCACCCUGAGGCUCCCUGCAGACCAGUGGAGGAAGGUGGGCUCUGUGACCUGUGAGGCCACCCAGGGCUCCCAGACUGCAGUCACAGAGUCCCUGAGGAGAGACCAGUGUUCCCAGUAACAACUUGGCUCAUGUUUUGUUUCUACUCUGCUCCUUUUUUAAGUGUACUGACUUUAAAAUAUGUUUUUUGUCAGAUUGUUUCUUCUUUUAAAGCUCCAUCAUUUUUAAAACAAUAAAAUAUAAACCAUCA